rnacentral:misc_RNA from 1 species
GAUGAAGACGUAGCGAAAUGCGAUACGUAGUGUGAAUUGCAGAAUUCAGUGAAUCAUCGAAACUUUGAACGCACAUUGCACCUCUCGGUAUUCCGGGAGGUAUGCCUGUUCGAGCGUCAUUUGUACCCUCAAGCUCUGCUUGGUGUUGGGUGUUUGUUCCGCCUCUGUGUGUGAACUCGCCUCAAAACAAUUGGCAGCCGGCGUACUUGUUUCGGAGCGCAGCACAUUUUGCGAUCCAGAUCAACGUACAGCGGCAUCCAAGAAGCCUUAUUUAACGCUCUUGACCUCGGAUCAGGUAGGGAUACCCGCUGAACUUAAGCAUAUCAAUAAGCGGAGGA